GGUAGUCCACGCCGUAAACGAUGAUAACUAGCUGCCGGGGCACAUGGUGUUUCGGUGGCGCAGCUAACGCAUUAAGUUAUCCGCCUGGGGAGUACGGUCGCAAGAUUAAAACUCAAAGGAAUUGACGGGGGCCUGCACAAGCGGUGGAUGAUGUGGUUUAAUUCGAAGCAACGCGCAGAACCUUACUAACGUUUGACAUCCUCAUCGCGAUUUCCAGAGAUGGAUUUCUUCAGUUCGGCUGGAUGAGUGACAGGUGCUGCAUGGCUGUCGUCAGCUCGUGUCGUGAGAUGUUGGGUUAAGUCCCGCAACGAGCGCAACCCUCGCCUUUAGUUGCCAGCAUUUAGUUGGGUACUCUAAAGGAACCGCCGGUGAUAAGCCGGAGGAAGGUGGGGAUGACGUCAAGUCCUCAUGGCCCUUACGCGUUGGGCUACACACGUGCUACAAUGGCGACUACAGUGGGCAGCGACCUCGCGAGGGGAAGCUAAUCUCCAAAAGUCGUCUCAGUUCGGAUCGUUCUCUGCAACUCGAGAGCGUGAAGGCGGAAUCGCUAGUAAUCGCGGAUCAGCAUGCCGCGGUGAAUACGUUCCCAGGCCUUGUACACACCGCCCGUCACACCAUGGGAGUUGGAUUCACUCGAAGGCGUUGAGCUAACCGCAAGGAGGCAGGCGACCACAGUGGGUUUAGCGACUGGGGUGAAGUCGUAACAAGGUAGCCGUAGGGGAACCUGC
rnacentral:rRNA from 1 species